UUACAGAUAGAGAGAGACUGAGACAGUAAAAAACCCCGCGAAAUAAAUGAAGCUGAGAACUGGAACAGCAUGGACUCUGCUGUGCCCUAAUUUGGUUUUAGGGAAUUAAGAGUUGAUCAUUCAGUGACUGGAACUGGUGGAACUUUAAAUAGCCAUGAGGUUUGGCCUUUGGAAAGGCUUUUCCACAAAUUCAUGAUUAUCCAGUUGGUCUGGCUGAACCUGCCUCCUCUAUUGUAGAAAAGUCUGACUUGGUCUGGCUCUCAUUUUCAAGUUCUAAUAAUUUUCUGAAACAUGUAUUUGCAAAAGAAAGAGAAAGAAUGGACAAGAAAAAGGAGCAGAAACCGUAAGAAAUGGGGAUACAUAACUGGAAGAUAGAAAAUGUAACAAAUUGACACCAAA